UGGGCAACCUGCCCUCAGCACUGGGAUAACUCCGGGAAACCGGGGCUAAUACCGGAUACGACCGCGGCGGACAUCCGCUGUGGUGGAAAGCGUUAGUGGCUGAGGAUGGGCCCGCGGCCUAUCAGCUUGUUGGUGGGUAACGGCCUACCAAGGCGACGACGGGUAGCCGG
rnacentral:rRNA from 1 species